GCAAAUAUUUGAUACAAAAAUAGACUAAAAGUUUUUAAAACAAAAAAAAUUUGAGAUUUUGAAUAUUAUUUAUACUUCUCACAUCAGUCUUUGAUACCAGUAGUAGUUUUCUGUAUUUGUGUGGUUAAUGGAUAAAAGGCAGUCUGGGAUCUGAAGCUAAAAAGAGAUUGAUGUUGAGAAAAUUUAUGACUUUUACAUUUUCAUGUAUUAAAACUAAAUAGAAAAAAGAGGGGUUGAAAAUGUGCUAGUAUGUGACCCAUGAAAGAUUUAUUAGAGAGAGAUUUUUCGUGUUCUAGAUAUUAUUUUUCCUGCCUUUUAUUGCAACAAUCAUGCUUUCUUUUCCCAUGUCUGAGAGUACCUGUGUUUUCUUGGAGAUUGUCUCUGCCUUCUGUUUUCAUUUGCCAAUGUCUGUCUCUACUCUCCUACCCAUUGGUCAUCUUCAUAUUUAUAUUCAAUAGUAGAAUUUAGUGGGAUCACAGAUGUCUGAUACCUUUUCUCAGACUGAAGUAUUCUUUCUUAUAUCUCUUUUUUGCAGGGAAUUCUUUGACCAUUUUUGAUAAUUUUCAACUUAAAAAUCUCUCUCUAAAUAGUGCAUGAGUAUUGACAGUUUUGGUGGAGGAUGCUAUUUGUUAUUGGCUUCCAAAUGGGAAGAAUUUUAUGUCAUAUUUUUUAUACAUUUUUCUCUUUUUAUGCAUUUUGACAACAUUUAGUUAUAUGUAUAUUCUAACAAUAUAUUUAACCAUAGAAAAGUUUCUAAACAAUACAUUUAGUUAUACAAUGC
rnacentral:lncRNA from 1 species